rnacentral:rRNA from 1 species
UACGUAGGGGGCUAGCGUUGUCCGGAAUCAUUGGGCGUAAAGCGCGCGUAGGCGGCCCGGUAAGUCCGUUGUGAAAGUCAAAGGCUCAACCUUUGAAAGCCGAUGGAUACUGCCGGGCUAGAGUCCGGAAGAGGCGAGUGGAAUUCCUGGUGUAGCGGUGGAAUGCGCAGAUAUCAGGAGGAACACCAAUAGCGAAGGCAGCUCGCUGGGACGGUACUGACGCUGAGGCGCGAAAGCGUGGGGAGCGAACAGG